GGUGUGCUGAGCUUUCCUCCUGGGCUCUCUGGAAAUAAGAGAAGCCCCUUCACUAAGGGUGACUGCCGGAAGCUGAAGGCAUCGGGAACUAUCUCAGCGGUUCUCCCAGUUGGAAGUAACGGGUGGAGAGAACGCCGGCAAGAAGGGCUCGGGCUGAGCCCAGCGUCAGCGAAGCAACCCAGUGACCCGGCUUCCUCAGUGAAGUUCUUGCUCCCUCCAGAUGUGUAAAUCAAGGCCCGAAGAUGAGAUGAAAACAUCAGAGGUAGAACAGAAAAGUAUGCAAACCCAGCCCCGUGCCGCAUUCCGCCCAAGGCGGGGGCAGAGCAGUCGCCUCCUGACCAGCGGAGCUCUGCAGCUGUGUGCGGGACCUGCAACCAAAUGGUGACACACGCUGGUCUUAUUUACAGUAAGGACACCGUGUGUAUUUCCACGGUGACUCAGUCAGGGUGAGAUUAGUUAAUAGUUCGCAGUGAGUUUGAAAAUGGCUUUCCAAACAGUCUGCUAGGUUAAGUGCUUAGCCCUUCACAGCGAGCUGGACUUGCACCCUCAUGCACACUGACAGAAGCACAUGCCCCUGGAAAAUUUUCUUUCCAUUUAGCAACGUCCACCUGAUUAAAGUGUACAUACUCUUUGAUUUAGUGAGUCUACUCCUAGAAACUUCCCUACAGAAAUUUUCACUCAUAAAGCCAUGAUGACAUCUAGAGAAGAAAGACCACUGAGCUACCAUGUGCAUAAUCGGAAAUUUAAAAUAUCUCCAGGUGUGAAAAAUAAAUUAUAGUAUACCUCUACAAUGGGGUAUUU